AAGAUGGUCCAACCUGUAUUUUUUAAAAUUCUAACAGGAGAAAUCAUUUAAAAUUUUGCCUUUUCACAAUGGCAAAAAGGAAAGAAUUUGAACAUAAUAUUUAAUUUUUAAAAAAAUUCAGCCUGACUCAGACCCUGAAGAUUAUCGAAAGAACAUCUUCACUAUUAAAAUGAUGACAGGCCCAAAUGGGGAAUUGUUUAACCAGUUUUCCUAAGUUAAACCAAGAAUAAGCCACAAAUAUUCAAUUGUGUUACAACUUAGAUCUGAGACAUUUACAUCAAAGCAUACUUCCCUGAACAUGUUCACAUUUAAAAUGCUUAAGGUCUUAUUAUUAAAUCCAAAAUACCAAAAGUAUUGGAGGAGCUAGUUAUAUACAAUAUUGGCACAGCGUCUUUAAGCAAUAAUAAAAAAUUUCAUUUUGUCACCUUAAGUCAAGAUCCAUUUAUCUAUUAAUAGGUUAAGUUUGAAAUUCUGUAACAUAUUCUAGAAGCACCUACAUCCAUUAUUUCCAGGAGACUAGUUUACUAUUAUCAUGCAAUCUCUGAGGUCAUAUGAGUCUAAAAUGAAGGGAAUUGCUGAACAGGCCCUUUUGCUGUUGAGAUAUGAAGCCUCAAAUCUUUGCCUCUGAAGAUGGAAUUCAAUGUGGUGUGUGUAAUCACAAGUAAAAACUUGAGCUAGGGAGGAACCUUGGAUAUUCAGUCUAAAUCUCAAAUAGCAUAGCUGCCAAAAAUGAGGCCUGUCCAUUAAAGUGGAGGAGAUAUCUUUGCUGAUGGCAAGAACUGCUUUUUCUUUUUGACACGGAGUCUUGCUCUGUCGCCCAGGCUGCAGUGCAGUGGUGCCAUCUCGGCUCACUGCAACCUCCGCCUCCCGAGUUCAAGUAAUUCUCUGCCUCAGCCUCACGAGUAGCUGACAGGCGCCCGCCUCUACGCCCGGCUAAUUUUUGUAUUUUUAGUAGAGAUGGGGCUGCAAUGAGCCAAGAUGGCACCACUGUACACUCCAGCCUGGGUGACAGAGUGAGACUCUGUCUUUAAAAAAAAAAAAAAAAAAAAAAAAAGAAGGAACAUUAACUGCAAUAUUCUUGAUGAUGCAAAUUUUUAAAAACUAAAUCCAGCCAGAUUUUUCAGCCUUAAAAACUCAGAUCCAAACUAUUCAACGUCUCUACAAAUUACAUACUCAUUGAACUCAGGAACAAUAACAGAAUUAAACAAAUAAUCAGCUCAACUUAAACUGCAAGUAAACAAAUACAUUUAGCAACUACAGCCCCUAUUAUUAGAAAGCAAAGGUGUAACCAUGAAGGUAAUUGUGGUAGUGAGGCUACUCUGUCGCCAUUUGUUUAUGUGUAUAAUUAACCACAAGGGUUAAAUAGUUUUUAGUUGCUGAGUAAAUAUUUAAUUAUGGGAACUGCUUUAAACUGCUCUUCAUAAACUUUAAGAACAUUAAAAUAAAUGUAAUUUUAAAAUAUGUUAAGACCAUAGAAUUCCUGUGGUCUGUAUGCCUCUGACUACUAUAAUAACUUUUAAGUAGAGGAGACAGUCUCUCACAUAUUUAAGGUUAUUUUUAUGCAUAAUAGAAUUGCUUUCUUCUGACUAACCUACAUGGCAAACUUUCCCCAACCCUCUUUUUCUGGAAAUGAAUACAUUCCUUUAUUCUUUUCUCAAAGAGCUGUGCUUUAUGAAGUGAUAUAAAUAGCCUACAAAUAAACAUUAAUAGCAAAA
rnacentral:antisense_RNA from 1 species